AGCGGACGCUGGCGGCAGGCCUAACACAUGCAAGUCGAACGAACCUUUCGGGGUUAGUGGCGGACGGGUGGGUAACCCGUUGGAACGUGCCUUUAGGUUCGGCUUAUCUUAGGGAAACUUGUGCUAAUACCGAAUCUGCUCUUCCGUGGGAAGUUGUAUCGCCUUUAGAGCGGCUUGCGUCUGAUUACCUAGUUGGUUGAGUUAAUGGCUCACCAAGGCGACGAUCAGUAGCUGGUAUGAGAGGAUGAUCAGCGACAUUGGGAGUGAGACGCAGCCCACAAUCCUACGGGAGGCAGCAGUGGGGAAUCUAGCGCAAUGGGGGAAAGGCUGAAGCAGCCAGGCCGGGUGAAUGAUGAAGGUCGUAGGAUAGGAAAAUUAUUUAACCGGGGACGAUAAUGACGGUACCAGGAGAAGAAGCCCCGGCUAACUUCGUG
rnacentral:rRNA from 1 species